UAAACAGCCUUUGCUCUUGCUUUCUCAGG
rnacentral:piRNA from 1 species